CCGCGUCGGGACUUGGCGGUUACAGCCCAGCGCGCUGUCAGUCAGGGGGCGUGAGGUCCUUGGCUGCCGUUUGGUUGGCUCAAGCCGCGCGAGCCCGCCCACGUGCUCCUUUUCUUGUUCGCGCGCGCUGUCAAUCAGUGUUCUGGCGGCUGGAGACGGAGGCGUUUUGCCGCUCACCACCCCCGGCUUGGCUCCUCCCCUUCCCUGCCUCGCUUCGCGCUGUCAGGCAGCUCGGGGAGCCCUACUGCAGGCGAAGGUUCGCUCAGCUCGCCUACUCCGCAGCUCGCGCCGCCUUGGCCCCACCCUCUCCCUCCCGGCGCGAGGGCCCCCUGACUUGGCUUGUUCUGAGCUUGGGUCGCGCGGAGCUCGGCUCGUUAGCUGUCUCGCACCGCCGUAGCCUAGCCCCGCCCAUUUACGAGGAGCCCAGCUCCGUCGGAGAGGAGCGACCGAGUCGGCUGCUGGGCUCGGUUUCCUGCUCAGUGGGCGUCAGUUGGGCCUCUCUGGGCCCCGCCCCUCCUUCCCCCUCGGCUGGCUCUGAGCUGUCAAUCAGGCGCCGGGCUCAGGGGCAGGCGGCGGCGGCGGGCGGAGAGAGGCAGCUACGCCACAGCCCAGCGGCGGCCAUUCGUGGAAAAAUAGGCCGUCCCGCUCCUCCCAGCUCCGGCUGCGACCGGCCUUCUCCCCGCUACCCCCACCCCACCCUCCGCCUCCUCCGCCUCCUCCUCCCCCCCAGAGCGGCGCCUCAGCGGGGCAUUAAUGCGGGAUGAGCGAUCAAAAGAAGGAGGAAGUUAUGCCCACAGAGGGAGAGAAAUCUCCUGAGGCAGAGAACAAUAAUAAUAAAAAAAAUAAAACUGGAGGCUCACAGGAUUCUCAACCUUCACCUCUGGCUUUGCUGGCAGCCACUUGCAGCAAAAUUGGGACUCCUGGUGAGAAUCAAUCAACUGGACAACAGCAGAUUAUUAUAGAUCCAAGCCAAGGUUUGGUGCAGCUUCAAAAUCAACCACAACAGUUAGAAUUAGUAACAACUCAGCUUGCUGGAAAUGCAAAUGCAUGGCAGCUUGUUGCUGCUGCUCCUCCUGCUUCAAAAGAAAACAAUGUUGCUCAACAAGGAUCUUCUGUUGCAUCAAGCACAGCAAGUCCUUCCGGCAGCAACAAUGGGAAUACAUCUCCUUCAAAAACUAAAUCAGGCAAUUCUUCUGCUACUAACCCUGGACAGUUUCAAGUAGUACAAGUACAGAAUCCAAGUGGUAGUGUCCAAUACCAAGUGAUCCCACAGAUUCAGACAACGGAAGGUCAGCAAAUUCAAAUCAAUCCUGCCAAUGCUACAGCUCUACAAGAUUUACAGGGUCAAAUUCAGCUCAUCCCUGCAGGGAAUAAUCAAGCUAUCCUCACAACUGCAAAUAGGACCACUUCGGGGAAUAUUAUUGCUCAGAACCUGGGAAAUCAGACAGUUCCAGUCCAAAUUAGGCCUGGUGUUUCAAUACCACUGCAACUGCAGACUAUUCCAGGUACUCAGGCUCAGGUUGUAACAACCUUGCCUAUAAACAUUGGAGGAGUAACUCUAGCAUUGCCUGUGAUAAACAAUGUGGCAGCAGGAGGUGGUUCUGGACAGGUUGGCCAGACUGCUGAUAGUGGAGUUUCCAAUGGGAAUCCGGUAGUAUCCACGCCUGUCACUACUGCUUCUGUUAGUACUAUGCCAGAAUCCCCUUCCUCUUCUUCCAUUUGUACAACCACUGCCUCAACAACUCUGACUAGCAGUGACACUUUAGUAACCUCAGCAGAGGCAGGCCAGUAUGCAAGCACAGCAGGCAGCAGUUCAGAGCAUACUCCUGAAGAACCUCAAACAACUGCCACAGAAUCAGAAGCCCAGAGCUCCAGUCAGCUUCAGCCUAAUGGACUACAAAAUGUGCAGGAUCAGUCAAGUUCACUUCAACAGGUGCAAAUUGUAGGUCAGCCUAUUCUACAGCAAAUACAGAUCCAACAGCCGCAACAGCAGAUUAUUCAAGCCAUUUCUCCACAGUCAUUUCAGCUCCAGUCAGGGCAAACUAUUCAGACCAUCCAACAACAGCCUUUGCAAAAUGUUCAGCUGCAAGCAGUGAGUCCAACUCAGGUACUCAUCAGGGCUCCAACUUUAACACCAUCAGGGCAGAUCAGUUGGCAAACUGUGCAGGUUCAGAAUCUUCAAAGCCUUUCAAAUUUGCAAGUUCAGAAUGCUGGGUUACCCCAGCAACUAACCAUCACCCCAGUGUCUUCAAGUGGGGGCGCAACUAUUGCCCAGAUUGCACCAAUGGCUGUUGCUGGUACCCCAAUCACACUGAAUGCUGCCCAGCUUGCUUCAGUGCCUAACCUCCAAACAGUAAGUGUUGCCAGCCUCAGUGCAGCAGGUGUUCAAGUUCAAGGAGUUCCAGUUACCAUUACCAGUGUUGCAGGUCAACAGCAAGGACAGGAUGGAGGCAUGAAAGUACAGCAAGCCACAAUAGCUCCUGUAACUGUAGCCGUAGGAGGUAUUGCUAAUGCAGCAAUUGGUGCUGUUAGUCCUGAUCAGAUCACACAAGUGCAGUUACAACAAGCCCAGCAAGCUUCUGACCAGGAAAUACAACCUGGCAAGAGAUUAAGAAGAGUUGCCUGCUCAUGUCCUAAUUGUAGAGAAGGAGAAGGAAGAGGCAGCAGUGAGCCAGGAAAAAAGAAGCAGCAUAUCUGCCAUAUCGAAGGAUGUGGAAAAGUUUAUGGGAAAACAUCUCAUCUCCGGGCACACCUUCGUUGGCAUACUGGAGAAAGACCAUUUGUAUGUAACUGGAUGUUUUGUGGCAAAAGAUUUACACGGAGUGAUGAGCUGCAAAGACAUAGAAGAACCCACACAGGUGAAAAAAGAUUUGAGUGCCCCGAAUGUUCUAAGAGGUUUAUGCGGAGUGACCAUCUCUCCAAACAUGUCAAAACUCAUCAGAACAAGAAAGGUGGUGGAACAGCCCUUGCUAUUGUUACUUCAGGAGAACUGGACUCUUCAGUUACUGAGGUUCUUGGCUCUCCAAGAAUUGUCACAGUUGCAGCCAUUUCUCAAGAUUCAAACCCAGCAACCCCUAAUGUUUCAACAAACAUGGAAGAAUUCUGAAAGGAUCAUUUAUACAGACACCUAGUGCUGCACUUAAGUUUACAUACCUUUCAUGAUAUGGAAGUGGGCUGGUAAAGUGGAUUACAGAGCAGGAAAUCAUGUUUUCAGUCUUGACUUCUGCUAUGUGACAUACGUGAUGGGACUGAAACACUAUCAUUGGCAGAUAACUCUGAAACUAUAGAAAAUGAUGGUAAUCUUGAAGGUGGAUAGUCUUCAAAAUCCUGUAUGUUGAAGAUGGAUUCUCCUAAACAAAAUAAGUCAAUGCAGUAUUUAAUUAUUAUUACCAUACUGCUCAUUUAGUAUUACUCAUUGCAUUCACUGACACUUCAGUAUUACUUUAAAGGUGAAAUUGUAAAAGGGAGAUCUGUCUAUUUCAGUUAUUUAUUUUUUAUCACAACUGCAUCUAAAAUGAUAGUACCAUAGAGUAACAAGUAUAUGUUUUGCUCAAACAAGAAUAGUCCAGAAGGAAGAUAGGCAGUCCUUAAGAAAAAAAGUAUGAAAUAAAAAAGUUUACCAACCUGAAGAUCCUGGAUGUUCAGACAUGUUCCUUUCAUCAUCUUUAACGCAGUUUCCUCCUGAGAAGGAACACUCUCAUGAUGUUGUUUCAUUUGGGCAACCAGGCCUUGCAUUUCUUUGUUGCACUGUUUGCAUUUUGCACACAUGCUUGUCUUACCCAGAGGUAGAGGAACUUCAUUAAAAUAUUCCGAAACUGGGUCUCUUUUACGGCCUGCUGCCAUUAUAGGUUUUCCCUUCUCGUGAGAAAAUGAUAUGGUAGAUCUCAAAUCAAUGAAGGCUACACUCAGAAAGACCUCAAGACUUCUGGAAUAUGCUGCUCAAACGGUUUCACUUUUGUUUCUACUGCUUGUCCCUCCAUUCUCACAUUUAUCUCCAGACUUCUUCUCCUUGUCCAGGUCUAUUCAACCCCCAACAAUCUUCUACUCAUUGAACUUUUUGAAACUUUGCACUUUUAGAGAGAGGUAAGGGAUUGACUCUGUACACAAAUUUGCAGAGGGACAAUAGGGUUGAGGUCUGUUUGUCUCACCUCUAUAUGUUGGUUGGUUGGUUUAUUUUAAAACAUUUUUGCUGUUAACAAGCAUGUUAUCUCUGGAGACACAAAUCCACAGUUUGAGAACUUCAAAACUAGGCAUCUCUGAUGGUAUCUUCUAGACUGAGCACUGAGUCCCGUUGAGUAGAUAGAGAGAUUUACCUAACUAAUCUAUACAGAAGCUCCUGGAACCCCAUAAAAUUGGGUCCCUAAUUCAUGAAUUAUUGGAACUAAUUUCUAAAACUUUUCUUAAACAUUAAAUGAAUAUAUUCUCAUACUGUAGAAUUAAAAUUUAUAAUCCCUAUUAUAUUAUAGCUCAAAGAUAUCUCAUCAUGGAUCUUAAUUAAAACUAUCUUUAGAUAGUUUUUUUUCUCAAAAAGCAUUUUAUCAAAAAGAUCUAUUUAAAUUUAAAAAAUCUGUUUUUGUGUGUGUUUUUUUAAAGAAAUCAUUGUUUUUUAUCCACCCUGCAUGGGAACAGAAUCUAAAUUCCUGAGUCCUAGUCUUGAUUUUAGACAACCAUCCUUCUCCUCCAAUACAGACCUAGAAUCUAUGAGCUUCAUUGUAUCUAUAUGUUCGAUGAGAUGUGUUUAAUUUCAAGUCUCAUUAACUUCUAUUUGAGUAGAAUGAUAACUUAUAUUAAACAAAGCUUUCAACUGUAGCCAAAGUCUAACAGAAUUUGAAUUAAAAUCUAUAGUUUCAUGUAACCUAUUACUAAGUCUAUAUUACAAAAUAUUUUUAAAAUGACAUUUUACAGGGGCACAGGGAUUCUUGUUUUUAGCCGUUUACUGCUGCUGAAUGUUUUAAAUUGUUUCUUAAAUUGUUGAGAAGAGAGAAAUCCUCCAUUUUGCAUCCAUCACUGUAGUGCAGUUUCAGAAAAUGUAACACAAAACUUAACCAAUUAGGAGACUAAGGAUAAAUAUUCAAACUUUCAUUCUGUCCCCUUUAUGUAUGUGCCUUAAAAUGUGGCCUUUGUAUCAUCUACUUUUUGUCAAAUGUAAAAUGUAAUUCCAAAUAGAAUUUCUUAGACAAGCUUAGAUACAAUAAAAUAAAAAUAAUGUAUUGUACAUACAGUAUAUACAUUGAUAUACUUUUGUGAAAUAGAUACCGUGCAGGUAGGCUAGUAACAUAACAUUUUAUAUCUAGUUAAGUGGCAAAAUACAGUAUUAGAAUUUUUCUGUAAUGAGCAUGGAUCAGCUCUGUACUUUCCCUCCCACACCCCAGCUACUUUGCACCUUCUAACAAACCUAGGAAUUCCGUUAGAUUAAGGGGAAUCCUCAGGUGGCAUAUUAGGCCCUAUAUCAUUUUGCCCCACCCCUGUUGUCUCAAGAAAGAGGGGUAUGUUAGGAGUUUUCUGAGGAAAAUGAGAUGUGUCUAGAGCAGCGUUUCUCAAAUGCAGCCACCAGGGGCUUUUCUUGUGGCCACAGCCUCCUAGGCAGUAACUGGGGCGGGAGGGGGGCAAGCUGUGGCUGUUGCCCCAGGGCCACCAGCAAAAGUUGGACCCUACCCCUCUCUGGGACCACAAAUUCCAGAUGAUUGGCAGCCAGUGAGUUCUCCACCUUCCUGGGAGUGGUGAGGCUCAGCCUUCAGCCUUGGAGUGGUGGGCAGCAGGCUCUGGUCAUGGGGCUUCAGGCUCCAGCACUGGACCCCAGCCAUGGGUGCCAGCCCUUGGCUUACCCCCCCCCCCGCAUUGCCCCUGGCCUCCCCGGCCUACCCAGCCUCCCCAUCCAUUCCCCCUUCACCACUGGCCCCCACUAUCUCCCUAUCCACCUCCCCAUCCAGGGCUCAAUUUGUUCCCUGUCUUACCAGGGCUGAAUAAGUCUGCUGUUAAAAUUGAUAGUUGUAUGUUUGUUAAUAUCAAUUUUCACAGCCUCUCAGCUAGCUAGUAAGUCUGCUGUGAAAAGUGAUAUUAAUAAACAUAGAAUUACUUUUCACAGCAGGAGACUUACAAGCUAGCAAGUCUUAAAAAAACAGGCAACUGAAAAGCAAUAGAAAUAACAACAAAGGCAUGAAUGUGCAAAGCACCUUAUUUGUAUUUCUAUUCUGUUUAGGUCCAGUAAAGAAUAGAGACAACUGUACAUUAUUAUUAUUGAGGCUGCAAAAAAAACCUCUACAGAAAUAAAUUACAAUGUUUUGGACAGGUAUAUGUGCAUAUUUCCCCUCUUCUUCCCCCCCCCCAAGUUAAUUAAGUGUUUUAGGAAAAAUUGUCAGAGCGGCCACCAAUAAGAGUUGGUGGCUGCACUCUGAGGCCACCAAAAAAUGUGUUGUGAGAACCCUUGGUCUAGAGCACUGCUAAGCUAUAGCUAUUCUUGGCUGCUGGAAUAGCUCCUUGGGGGGCUAUUGCUGCAGGAUACAACUUAAAGCAGACCGGCUGUCCCAUACACUGUAAGGAUUGCUCUAAAUUGAGCUGAAUUGGCCCCACAAUCAAGGGAUGUAAAGGUGGUCUAAAGGCACCCUUCAGGUGGUCCAUUAACACAGCUGAGGAUGUGGUUCCAUAUGUCUGUGACACAAUGGAAAUGAUUUGCCAUCACGAGAAGUGUUGUGAGGAUUUUCAUUUUUUUCCCCAGAGUUCUAAAGUAAUUGGAAAAGCAUGUCUGUCUUCCAGAAACACUAAAGUCCAGGCUUCCCAGCCUGCUCAUAGAGGGCUUUAAGUGACUGUGAUAUCUAAGAACAUCCAUAAGAUAGUUCUUAUUGCUCAAAUGGAAUUGCUUUCUUAAAUAACUCCAUUGGCAUUACUGAGGUGUUUUGUAUUGUUUUUAACCAGAUUAAAAAAUACCCAUCCACAAAUGACUCUGGAUCAAGGAACUUGUACGCCUCACUGCCUUGCAUAGAUGUUAAUGUUGAAGACAUGUUCCAUAAUUAUCAGGUUUCGAGGUUAGCUUGUGAAUAUACUUUCUUUUCUGAAUAGUCACUAACACUGAACCACAGUCUCAGUUAAUUGUCUCCAGUAAUGAGUACAACAGCUGUUUCUUCUCUAACUUAGAACACUUCACUCAUCAUCUUCUCCUGAUUGAUGUGGUAGCCUUUGAAUUUCCCGUAGAAGGGAUCCCCUUUGGGACCAAAUUGAGACCCCUGGGUACCAUGUAAUUUUGGCAGUCCGCAAGGUCGCACCAGCUUGAGUAAUAUUUCAAGAGCUGUCAUUUUCUUUCUCUUGAGUCUGCUCCCCUCCACUGCAGCCUGGCCUGAACUACUCUUAACCAUGAUUUACACAAGGCAGCAGUGCAGCCUGCCAGACCCAAUAGGAUUUCAAAAUGUCUGAAAAGCUCACUUAAAAUGGCCAGUUAGCAGAAAAGUUCACCCUGUGAAACAGCCCAGUUUGUAUAGGUAAUGAGGCUCUAGCUCCCCCCUUCAGGAAAAGAAUACCAAGUCCACCUCCCCACUCUCAGGCUCUCAUCCCCUGGCACUGUGCUCUGCUAAAUUUGUGUCCCACGCUAAAACCUACUCCAAAGGUAGUCCCUUGAGUAGGCUGCCCAUAGGAAAUAACACUUCCCAAGGUUUUCUCUUUAAGCCAGUUCUUUAUCUGAGUAGGCCGUUUGAGAUGGAUGGGGACAGCAGUCCAUUCCCAUGUAUUAUGGAGGCACUUGGUAGCAUAGUUAGGGUUACAUUUUAAAAUGGGGCAUAGAUUUUCUAAAAGUUGGUGCUCUGUUGCUGUGAAGUUUUUCUGAGCUCUUCAGGUGCUGGUUUCUGAGUAUAUUCCACAUGCAUCUGAGACCAGAGAUUUUGAGCAGGUACGUCUGUUGGUCUGCAUUUACACAAUUAUUCUCUUUGUGCUAUAUACUGAAGGUAUAAGGCAAGGUGCAUGCAGACUGAUGUCUCUGCUGUUGCACAUCCUGAGUCAGAAUCCUCUACUUCCAAAGCUGCUUCAUAGUCUUCUUGUCUGUAAAUGCAUAUUGUAAAUAGUUGUUGGUAUUUUACUGUUUUUAGUGUUUUUCUAGUUUAUAGUUAGUAUAGACCAGUUUCUUCCUCACCUCAGGGACCCCCACUUUCUCCUCAAAAGAAGGACUAUGCCCAGAGUUUCAGGGUUUAACAACUGUGUCUUCUGCCCCCAUUCCUUCUCCAUCAGCAAUAAAAACCAGUGCUGCCUUUGCUACCCUCCAAUCCCUCACUGCCAAGUGCAGCAUCUCCCAUUCCUUCCCUCCUUUGAACUCCAUCCAGGUCUGGUGAGUCCUCACGUGGGGGUCCUGAAGAUUUAGGUCCACAUAAACCUGACCAAGACGAUAAGGCUUGAAGGAGAAAGGAUUGGAUCCAUUAGUACCAGAAGUGGCUCCAGCUUAUAGGCCAAAGGCUAGGCAUCUACCAGUGCCAACUGGGAGCUCCACACUGGACUCCUCUUCAAUAGUACCAUCCUGCUCCGAGAAGGAUGUGCUAACAACCAUGCCAGUAGAGCAGUGGUGGGCAAUCUGUGUCCUGUCAGGAUAAUCCUCUGGCGGGCUGCGAGACAGUUUGUUUACCUUGACCGUCCGCAGGCACAGCCACCCGCAGCUCCCAGUGGUCGCGGUUUGCCCUUCCCGGCCAAUGGGAGCUGCGGGAAGCAGCAACCAGCACAUCCCUGCGGCUCACACGGAUUCCCACAGUUCCCAUUGGCCAGGAGUGGCGAACCGUGGCCACUGGGAACUGCGGGCAGCCAUGCCUGCAGA